CCUGGAGUGGGUUGCCAUUUCCUUCUCCAGGACAGGAACAUACAUUAACCUAACUCAAACAGACACACUUCUACAGAGGACGAUUUCAGGUCUCAGGGUCAGGCAACAGGCAGCUAGCAGGGAUAUUUUUGAUCCAGGGAUCUUCAGAGGGCCCUGAAAUUAUGCCUCAUUGGAAGUUUCUUGGCCUGGCUAUAUGGUGCUGAGGCAGCCCACGCCUUCCCUUUGAGACACAUGGAUAUUUUUGUAUGUGCUGCUGCUGCUGCUGCUAAGUCGCUUCAGUCGUGUCCAACUCUGUGCGACCCCACAGACGGCAGCUCACCAGGCUCCGCAGUCCCUGAGAUUCUCCAGGCAAGAACACUGGAGUGGGUUGCCAUUUCCUUCUCCAAUGCAUGAAAAUGAAAAGUGAAAGUGAAGUCACUCAGUCAUGUCCAACCCUCAGCAACCCCAUGGACUGCAGCCCACCAGGCUUCUCCGUCCAUGGGAUUUUCCAGGCAAGAGUACUGGAGUGGGGUGCCAUUGCCUUCUCCGAGGUAUGUGCUAAGAACAUACAAAGUUCUUCAUCAAAAGUGAAGACUAACACAAUGCUGUAAAAUGGUAUCUAUCGAUUCAGAAAAAGGCUAGGUGCAAAGCCAAGAUGCAAAACGUUGUGAUGUGCUCCUGAUUAUAUGUAAAUAAAAG
ensembl:lncRNA